rnacentral:piRNA from 1 species
UNGACUGCCUAAGAUAAGAAAUCAUUCAGCU